rnacentral:rRNA from 1 species
GGAGGGGGCAAGCGUUGUUCGGAAUUACUGGGCGUAAAGGGCACGUAGGCGGCCUGAUUAGUCAGGCGUGAAAUCCCAUGGCUCAACCAUGGAAUUGCGUUUGAUACUGCCAGGCUUGAGUAUGGGAGAGGAGAGUGGAAUUCCUAGUGUAGCGGUGAAAUGCGCAGAUAUUAGGAGGAACACCAGUGGCGAAGGCGACUCCCUGGCCCGAUACUGACGCUGAGGUGCGAAAGCGUGGGGGGAGCGAACGGGAUUAGAUACCCCGGUAGUCCACGCUGUAAACGAUGGGUACUAGGUGUAGGGGAGUAUGAAAUCUUCUGUGCCGAAGCUAACGCAUUAAGUACCCCCGCCUGGGGAGUACGAUCGCAAGAUUG